rnacentral:antisense_RNA from 1 species
CUUGAGCGAGCCGAGCCACAGCGGCCGGCCCGGUUGCCGGUCCCGGCCGUACGUGGCCAGCACCGCCUGCGCCUC